rnacentral:ncRNA from 2 species
AGAGUUAAAUAGUACGUGAAAUCGUUAAAAGGGAAACGCUUGAAACUGAAGUAGGGGUGGUGAAUCAGCAGCUGCUUUGGCGGCUGUGCAUUUCGCCUCUCCUGGUUAGCAUCAGUUUAGGAUGCCGGAAAAAGUGCUUCGGGAAGGUAGAAUCGGCUCGCCGGUUUGUUAUAGCCCAUGCACAGAUGCGGUGACUUAGACUGAGGUCUGCAGUGUGCUCUUCUGAGCAGGCACGGCGGAAGCUUCUUUUGGAUGGAUGCAGUGACAGUCUGACUGACACUUUAUCACAGCCAGAGGAACACUUGCGUGCGGUGCCUUCCACACUAAGGAUGCUGACACAAUCGGUUUUAAACGACC